GCGGGAUGCGCGGGGUCCGCACUGUCGCCUACUUUUGCUGAGAGCUUGCUGUCACUCUUGGGAAGUUUGGUAGCUUCUUAAAACAGGACGGCAUAAGCACCGUCCACCCUCUGCUGGCUUUCUCGGCGUUAAUCUUAUAGGCGUAAGUAGUACUGAAAUGUCGAGGCAGUAACAGAACGGCCAGCUGCCCGUCGGUGAGUGCGCGUACCACGCGUGGUGAAUUCAGGGAGGCAGAACACUAAGGGAUAGGAAAAGACAGGAAACAACUGUGCACUCAACAAACGGAAGGGGAAAAGAAACCCACGCGGAACGGGUCCAGGGACAACGAGCACGCCCACGUGCGCGCCCUAGCGCUGCGAUUCCUGCACUGUCCCCGCGAGCUCCACGCAUCGCGCGCGGCCACGGCUGAGGUCGAGGCGAGGCAGCGCGGUUCCUGCAGAGGCGCCCAUCUUCUCUGUCGCCUGCUUCCUGAGCUCGAUCCUGGCCUUGACUGUCGCGGCAGGGGUGCACGGACACGCGCGGGGGUGCUGAGCAUUUGAGUUUUGCGUUUAUUACUACGUGAUUACACGUGACUACAUUCUAGCAGGGAGCUGUCCUGAGUGCGCAUGGGUUUCUGCUGCUCUUCAUAGAGGCGUGUGAGCCUACGCUUACCCACGAGAAACAAAUUGAGUCAAAACCGCUCAUCUUUGAGAAGCAGCUGAUUCUGAGGUCAUGGGAGGGCGUGGGAGAGACCCACGAGGAACACGGAUGGAGGUGGGGCCUCAGCUCAGAGGUCCUGUGAAUCAUCUACGGAAGGCGGUGCCAGGCGAACGCAGAGCCCACGCAGACCCUGCUGCACGGGUGGGUGCUUGGGAGGACGACUCCAGGAAAAGGCGUAACGGAUUCAGCGUUGUGCAACCUGAGACCGACCGAGCAGGAGUUCCCCCGGCAGUACCGACGCGGGCUCGAGCCGGAGCCUAGUACCGGGGCUGUGCUGGCAGGACGGCCGUGUCGUCGCGCAUUUUGCAUCUCUCUUAUGAAUACGAGGAACGAGGGCCCUUUUCUGUCGGUCAUUUGUAGAGUGUGAAUGAAAAAAUAUAUAUAUGAGAUAUUAAACAAAAUAGAAAAUGUAACGGGGUUGCCGAAACCCGGGAUCGAACCAGGGACCUUUAGAUCUUCAGUCUAACGCUCUCCCAACUGAGCUAUUUCGGCUCCGCCUCCAGCUUGUCGCAAGGAAACCUAAUGGUGUUCUCACCAGAUUCCUGCGCGGCUGCGCCUUCAUUUAGUGACCAACACGGCUCGUGCUCUGAGGAACCUGAGAUAAAGAAUGGAUUCUGUCCUCGAAUGGCUGAUUGUUUUGUGAGGAGAAAGGCAAGGAAACGACUCUGAAUUAAGUCAUAAAUUCCGCAGGUUUGGCUUCUUUUUCAUUUCUCUAGCUCUGGCGUCCUGAGCACAUGUGCGGCUUUCAGUUCAUAGUAAUUCGGCAGAGACCUCUUAGCACCUUCCCUGGUGGUCUAGUGGUUAGGAUUCGGCGCUCUCACCGCCGCGGCCCGGGUUCGAUUCCCGGUCAGGGAAAAGCACUUUUUUGCACCAUUAAAACCAAUCUCUUAACGAUUACCCUUCUAAUUGUGGGCAAACUAGCUUUUCAUUUUCCCAUCAGCGCUUUCUAUGUAGAAACCGGGGUCCAGAUUUGGUAUACCAAGUACAGAACGCCAAGCGCUGUACUGUCCAGUGAUUUAUAAGAAUUUUGGACGUAUCUGAUCCUCUAACCCUGCCACUGUUCUAGGCGUGUUGAGAGGGUUCAGGCACCGCCGAAGCUGGAAGGGACAGGAACUGGGGAAGACUCCAGUGCAACUGAACCGCAGUCUCAGGCCCAGCUUCGGCCACUCAACCCCAGCAAAGAGCGGUGAACCGUCCCUGAGCGCUCGCUCGGCGGCGCUGGGGACGCACGUCAGGGGGCGUGGCCCGCUCACCUCUCCCUGAGCCAGUGCUGCGCGCCCUCUGCUGACGCCGAGGCCCUGGUUUUAUUGCGGAGACCGUGGGGCCCAGCGCCCAGGCCUCCCUCCCUCAGGACUUCCCCGAGCCCCUUCUCCAUUUGACACGGCAACAUAGGGACUGCCCUAGUGAUGCGGCCCAGGCAGAACCCUGGGUCCCGAUCUGCUGCUUGUUGAAAGCGUGGUUCCAGUUUCCUUCUGGGGCAGCCAGAUUUGCUAUGAACUGUGACAGUCCUUGGGCCUGUGGGUGCCCAGCGGGGAGCGAGACACCAGCGAGGCCUGACCUUCAUCUGCGACCUUUGCGACUGGAAGCUUUGGAUCAGCUCUCUUUUUGCUUUGCACAGGGGCAUGACGGUCGUUUAGUGCCUGUCUAGGUGGCGGCAGGCACAAGGCUGAUUAGCCCUGAAUGUGCAUAAUUUCACCCAUUCAAGAUGAAGACACAGGAUGGGGACCUUCAGGGGCGUCCACCUGCACCCGGAAGUCCCCAGCCGCUGUCCGGAUCUGUGCUCGCCUGGACCUCGGGAAAGGCGGGGACCAAGAGCUUAGACCACUGCUGGCAGAGGCCGACUGUCCUGGAAAUGUCGCUCUAACCGGUCACUGCCGAAGAGGUGGAGGCAACCAGCUUGGCGCCCCGAAAUCUGAGCCCUGGGCGUCCUUUGUUGUUUCUUUAUAGAGGGGUUUUAGCUGGGGAAAAAGCAGAAGGGGGCAUGGUUCAUCAGUUGUUUUGUUUAGCUGGCCACUUUGGUCUUAAAUUUCAGCAUCCCAAAGUUUUGUUACCAUCAUGUCCCUCCUCUGAAGGACAUACAGUCCUUCCCAGCGGGGGUUGUAUCGGUGGAUUGUGGUGACCCGGGUAGUGGCCUCCUAGAAUCUUUUUUUUUUUCUCCUUGAAUCUUAUUAGGGUGCUCAGGAGACACUGUCCUGUUAUCAAAAGUAACAGAUAGAGUGGCUCCGCUAGCACUGUGAUGUCCCUUGGGCUGGGAUCCAAUUCCAGCCUUCUCCUAUUUCUUUCUUUCUCCACCGGAUCCUGUCCCUCCAGUCCCUGACCUUUGUAGUGACCACUCCUGACUGGUUUACACAAUAGGAACGUGUUCUCCUAGGAAGAUGCAUGUACCUCCCUUCUUGUGGUGACAAGGUCUAGGACUUGCCUCUUUUGUAGAGCUGCCAAUGAAAUAAUCUGGUUUUGGAGGGAGACUAGUGAGCCAGCACUUGUGACCUGCAUGGCUCUUGAGGUUUUUGUGAUGAGGACCACUAAGGGCCGUGGGGUGAAGAAAUGAAGACUGAUGGGAGAGAAGGAACUGAUCAACCAGUGCAGCAUGUUUACUUAUACACUCAAGAGGAGGAUGUCAAAUUUUUUUUUUUUUUUUGUCUUUUUCAUUUUUAUCAGUACCAGGGAUCGGACUCAUGACCACAAACUUGCAAGGAAGGCGCUUAUACCGCUGAGCUAAAUCCCGAGACCCUGAGGAGGGGGUCAAUUUUAACCCCACUGCCUAGCAACUCUUCUGCCUCGCUGGUCUGGGCCCCCUGCUUUCUUGGAGCUGGAACAGCUUGUUUAUGUAGCUUGUUUAGGGGUCUCUGUGUUUUCAGGGCUGGCCUUGCUUUAGCCCCACAUAUUCGAUCAAUCUCCAGUUUCAAUGGCUUUCUGCAUGUCCCUAUUUCUUGUUUUGUUGUAGCAUGGGAUGGAUGGUUAGUUGGAGCUGGCAGAGCUGUGUUUGAAGAACUUUGUGGAAGACCUUUUUAUUUUUGAACACUUUAAGUGUGGUCUAAUAAUUUUAAGUUUUGGUAUUUAGUAAUUUAACUCCGUAUAGUCUAUUAAUCUGUAACAGUGUAGCUGGCAAGUGUUAGACAAUGUUAAUGAUUUAAGCUUUUUUCAUAGCUAACAUUUAUUUUGUUAUAUAUUUUGUGGGUCUUUUUAUAGGAUGGUUAAGACCAAGUUAGAAUGAGGCAUGUUUUAAGUAUAAUCAGACUUUGUUAUCUAUUAAGGUCAGUUAAGUCUCCUCAGAAAAUGUGUUAGUUUGUUCAAUAGUGUUAGUUGUCUGGAUGAUUUAUGAGCUGGAUUGAAAAAGAAUUACAAUAAACAAUACUUGCAUCCCAAUAUUACGAGGAAUUACUAUUUCAGUAUUCUCCCCUUUCAGGUCCCUCUGACCUGAGAAGGCUCCCUUGAUCAUACUUGACCCAAAUAUUCUCAAUCAGAAAUUGAAUGCAUGUCAGUUUGCUCCAUUAGGAUUGUUACAGUCAGAUGAUAGUAAAUUGUUUCUUUCUGGUGCUAGCUGAUGGAGAAAAAAAUUUUUUUUUUCUUUUGAGACAGGGUCUCACUAUGCAGUUCUUGGCCUUGAGCUGGCCAGUCUUGUGAGCCAUUUUGCAAAGAGGUCUUGAAAUGGCCUUGAGCUCACUUUGUAGCCCAGACUGGUCCUGUGCAAUGAUCCUCCAGGUUUACCUUCCAGAGAGCUGAGAUUAUAGGCUUGUGCCAAUAUGUCUGGCAAUGGAAAAUUAUUAAGUCUUUACAUCAUACCUUUCACUUGGGAGAGACAAAACUCACCAGAUGGCCUCAAAGUUAUUCAUAGGAAAGGGAAUUUCUGAGACAAUACAACAGAUAAUUAGUACAUAUGAUAUCUGUCAAAAGAAUAAGCCUCUUAAUCAGACGUAGUUCCUCCAAGUAUGCAGAGACAUGGUAAAGACCCUGGUGAAUGGCAGUUAGAUUUUAAUCAUAUGCCAAAGAUUAAGAGACUUCAAUACUUAUUAGUUUGGGUAGAUACUUUCACAAAGUGGGUUGAGGCCUUUCCUUGUAGAAUAGAAGAAGUGCAAAUGGUGGUAAAGUCUUUGGUCUCAGGAAUCACUCCCAGAUUCGGACUUCCUAAGAGCUUACAGGGUGACACUGGACCUUCCUUUAAGCAGCAGUCACACAGAAUGCCUCUCAGGCACUGGACAUUCUCUAUCACCUCCAUUGUGCAUGGAGGCCAUGAUCAUCAGGAAAGGUAGAGAAAAUGAACGAGGCCUUUCAGAGACCUCUUUGCAAAAUGGCUCACAAGAACCACCUACAGUGGCCUCAUUUACUACUUCUAGCAACAUCAAAAGAAAAGGAUGCCUUGCUGAAGGAUAGCACCUCACUGCUAAAUUUCAACAGACUCUUCAGUUAAUUGAAGCUCAGCCUAAAGAGAAGGGGAAUCUCAUAUUCCCCAGAGAUUUAAUAUGUAAGGUCUCUUCUCUCAUCAUGUCCUUCCCUAGGACCAAUUUGGGAAGGACCAUACACCAUGAUCCUGUCAACUCCAUCAUCUCCUAUGUAGCAGGCCUGGACUGCUGGAUCACACUUGACUCAUGCCCUGGGAACCAUCCAAAUGUAAACAACCAUCUGAAUACUCCUGUGAACCCACAGAAUACUUAAAACUCUUUUUUGGUACCAGAGAUUGAAUUUACAACCACAUGCUUGCAGGGAAGGUGCUUAUGCCGCUGAGCUAAACCCCUGGCCCUAAAAUUCUUGUUCAAGAAGAAAACAAAGUCUUCAGAUAAACAAUCUAAGAUAUGACUUUUAGCUUCUUUACUAAUUACCACUUGAAGAAGAGUGCAAUUUCUUUCAAGUGUGGGCACAGUAAUGUGUAGAAUCAUUAAAACAAACAUCUUGCUGGA